GAUGAACGCUAGCUACAGGCUUAACACAUGCAAGUCGAGGGGUAGCAGGGUAGCAAUACCGCUGACGACCGGCGCACGGGUGAGUAACACGUAUCCAACCUACCGUUUACUCGGGGAUAGCCUUUCGAAAGAAAGAUUAAUACCCGAUAGUAUAGAGAGUUCGCAUGUUCUCUUUAUUAAAGGAUUCCGGUAAAUGAUGGGGAUGCGUUCCAUUAGAUUGUUGGCGGGGUAACGGCCCACCAAGUCUUCGAUGGAUAGGGGUUCUGAGAGGAAGGUCCCCCACAUUGGAACUGAGACACGGUCCAAACUCCUACGGGAGGCAGCAGUGAGGAAUAUUGGUCAAUGGGCGUUAGCCUGAACCAGCCAAGUAGCGUAAAGGAUGACUGCCCUAUGGGUUGUAAACUUCUUUUAUAAGGGAAUAAAACGGGGAACGUGUUCCCCUUUGCAUGUACCUUACGAAUAAGGAUCGGCUAACUCCGUGCCAGCAGCCGCCGUAA
rnacentral:rRNA from 1 species